ACACAUGCAAGUCGAACGAGAAUCUGUGGAUCGAGGAUUCGUCCAAGUGAAGCAGAGGACAGUGGCGGACGGGUGAGUAACGCGUGAGGAACCUGCCUUUCAGAGGGGGACAACAGUUGGAAACGACUGCUAAUACCGCAUGAUACAUUUGGGUGGCAUCAUCUGAAUGUCAAAGAUUUAUCGCUGAAAGAUGGCCUCGCGUCUGAUUAGCUGGUUGGUGAGGUAACGGCCCACCAAGGCGACGAUCAGUAGCCGGACUGAGAGGUUGACCGGCCACAUUGGGACUGAGAUACGGCCCAGACUCCUACGGGAGGCAGCAGUGGGGAAUAUUGGGCAAUGGGCGCAAGCCUGACCCAGCAACGUCGCGUGAAGGAAGAAGGCUUUCGGGUUGUAAACUUCUUUUAAGAGGGAAGAGCAGAAGACUGUACCUCUAGAAUAAGCCACGGCUAACUACGUGCCAGCAGCCGCGGUAAUACGUAGGUGGCAAGCGUUGUCCGGAUUUACUGGGUGUAAAGGGCGUGCAGCCGGGAAUGCAAGUCAGAUGUGAAAUCCAUGGGCUUAACCCAUGAACUGCAUUUGAAACUGUAUUUCUUGAGUACUGGAGAGGCAAUCGGAAUUCCUAGUGUAGCGGUGAAAUGCGUAGAUAUUAGGAGGAACACCAGUGGCGAAGGCGGAUUGCUGGACAGCAACUGACGGUGAGGCGCGAAAGUGUGGGGAGCAAACAGGAUUAGAUACCCUGGUAGUCCACACUGUAAACGAUGAAUACUAGGUGUGCGGGGACUGACCCCCUGCGUGCCGCA
rnacentral:rRNA from 1 species